GGGGAUGUAGCUCAAUCGGUUAGAGCGCCGCCCUGUCACGGCGGAGGUUACGGGUUCGAGUCCCGCCAUCCUCG
rnacentral:tRNA from 1 species